UUUCCGUAGGUGAACCUGCGGAAGGAUCAUUCAUAAUAAGUGUUUUAUGGCACUUUUUAAAAAUCCAUAUCCACCUUGUGUGCAAUGUUAGAUCUCGUCAAUCUUGGCGAGAUUUUUAUACAUCAACUCAUUCUUUAACUAAUUUGUCUGAGAAAUAUUAUGAAUACUUAAUUCAAAAUACAACUUUCAACAACGGAUCUCUUGGCUCUC
rnacentral:misc_RNA from 1 species